AUUGAACGCUGGCGGCAUGCUUUACACAUGCAAGUCGAACGGUAACAGGGUGCUUGCACCGCUGACGAGUGGCGAACGGGUGAGUAAUGCGUCGGAACGUGCCGAGUAGUGGGGGAUAACGCAGCGAAAGUUGUGCUAAUACCGCAUACGUACUGAGGUAGAAAGUGGGGGACCUUCGGGCCUCACGCUAUUCGAGCGACCGACGUCUGAUUAGCUAGUAGGUGAGGUAAAGGCUCACCUAGGCGACGAUCAGUAGCGGGUCUGAGAGGAUGAUCCGCCACACGGGGACUGAGACACGGCCCAGACUCCUACGGGAGGCAGCAGUGGGGAAUGUUGGACAAUGGGCGAAAGCCUGAUCCAGCCAUGCCGCGUGUCUGAAGAAGGCCUUCGGGUUGUAAAGGACUUUUGUCAGGGAGGAAAUCCCUAGUGCUAAUAACACUGGGGGAUGACAGUACCUGAAGAAUAAGCACCGGCUAACUACGUGCCAGCAGCCGCCGUAA
rnacentral:rRNA from 1 species